UUAUUUAUUUAUUUUAUUUAUUUAUUUUUUUUUUUUUGCCCCCUCUCGGGGCUGGGGACCGAACCCAGGGCCUUGCGCUUGCUAGGCAAGCGCUCUACCACUGAGCUAAAUCCCCAACCCCUUAAUACAUUUUAAAGCAUGUAUUUGUCUGGGGCUUCUUUCAGUGGUUGGAACUCUUGAUAGUAAGUAUGGAAUCUCCUGUACUGAUUUGAAAUCUAAGAUUAGAAAAAAAAAAGGUUAACAGUGCAAAUUAGAUUGGCACAAAAAUAUUCUUUUGCUAACACUGCAUGACAAGAAAAUGUUGAUUUGUCAUAAUCACAGUCUGUGCACAUGUUUAGUUCUAGAAAGCCAUCCUGAGAGGUAUGGUUUGUUAACUUGUGGCUGAUGUGACUCUUGAUGUUUGUGACAGGUGGACAUGCUGAGCGAAAUUAACAUUGCACCUCGGAUCCUCACCAACUUCACUGGAGUGAUGCCACCUCAGUUCAAAAAAGAUUUGGAUUCUUAUCUUAAAACUCGAUCACCGGUCACUUUUCUGUCUGAUCUGCGUAGUAACCUACAGGUAUCUAAUGAACCUGGGAAUCGCUACAACCUCCAGCUUAU
rnacentral:lncRNA from 1 species